rnacentral:misc_RNA from 1 species
AACGCAAAUUGCGCUUCUGGGUAGCCCUAGGAGCACGUCUCUCUCAGUAUCGGUUCCUUCUCAGACUAGCAGCGUCGCGUUUACGUGACGUGUUCUAGUGACUGGAUGAUGGGAGCUUCGAGCCUGUUCAAUUUGACUGGGCCCGUCUCUUGAAAAGAUAUGAAAGAUCCUUCCUCUUGUGUGCUACAAGGGAGUGAUGAGACUAAAUUUCUUAGUGUACGUCAUUCCUCUGUAUGUCACCUUUCAGAGUGUAUCAGGCUUUCCAUGUUGACUGUCUCUCCGAGUGAUGUAAAAGCUCUGUUUGUGUAGACGUCCGACCCCUUCAUUUGGGUUGUAGGUGCUCCUCUUCGGAGGUAGUGCCUUUCAAUCAACUUGAUCUGAGAUGAGGUGAGAUUACCCCCUGAAUUUAA